CCCUUAGAUGUUCUGGGCCGCACGCGCGCUACACUGAUUCAUGCAACAAGUCUUGUCCUUGGCUGAUAGGCCUGGGUAAUCUUUGAACGUGAAUCGUGAUGGGGAUAGAUGAUUGCAAUUAUUCAUCUUCAACGAGGAAUUCCUAGUAAACGCAAGUCAUCAGCUUGCAUUGAUUACGUCCCUGCCCUUUGUACACACCGCCCGUCGCACCUACCGAUUGAAUGGUCCGGUGAAAUCUUCGGAUCUGAGAGAUGUCUGAUUAAUUUCGGACGCCUUUUGGAAAAGUUGCUUAAACCUUACCAUUUAGAGGAAGGUGAAGUCGUANCA
rnacentral:rRNA from 1 species